AAAAUCACAAUGAUGGAAAGUAGAAAUAAAACAACAAAAAUAAGAAAAAGGGCGCGCAGGUCUCAUACCCAGGUCAUUGGGGUUGAGAGACCAAAGCCUCAACCAACCCAAUCAUAACACUUAACUUGUUAACAAUGGUAUUGAAAAAUAUAUAUAUAAGAAAAAAUGAAACUAAAAUGGAAAAAUGAAAUGCAACACAAACUCAGGACCACAUCGAAACACAACCUCAUGAAUAUU
rnacentral:lncRNA from 1 species